rnacentral:rRNA from 1 species
AUUGAACGCUGGCGGCAUGCCUUACACAUGCAAGUCGAACGGCAGCACGGGAGCAAUCCUGGUGGCGAGUGGCGAACGGGUGAGUAAUACAUCGGAACGUGCCCAGUUGUGGGGGAUAGCCCGGCGAAAGCCGGAUUAAUACCGCAUACGACCUACGGGUGAAAGCGGGGGAUCGCAAGACCUCGCGCUAUUGGAGCGGCCGAUGUCGGAUUAGCUAGUUGGUGGGGUAAAAGCCUACCAAGGCUACGAUCCGUAGCUGGUCUGAGAGGACGACCAGCCACACUGGGACUGAGACACGGCCCAGACUCCUACGGGAGGCAGCAGUGGGGAAUUUUGGACAAUGGGCGCAAGCCUGAUCCAGCCAUGCCGCGUGCGGGAAGAAGGCC